ACCCCUGUGCGCUUCCGAAGCAUGAUGGUUGUGUGCUCAGGCAUCUGUGUGCCAUGUGUUUCCCCAAGCCUAGGUCCACAGUCAGCACGUGGUCCAUCUGAGG
ensembl:snoRNA